rnacentral:tRNA from 1 species
GGAGACGUCGCCUAGAGGCCGAUGGCAGCGGGUUGCUAACCCGCGUCCUUAACGGGACACGUGGGUUCGAAUCCCACCGUCUCCG